UACGUAGGGUGCAAGCGUUAAUCGGAAUUACUGGGCGUAAAGCGUGCGCAGGCGGUGAUGUAAGACAGGUGUGAAAUCCCCGGGCUUAACCUGGGAACUGCAUUUGUGACUGCAUUGCUGGAGUGCGGCAGAGGGGGAUGGAAUUCCGCGUGUAGCAGUGAAAUGCGUAGAUAUGCGGAGGAACACCGAUGGCGAAGGCAAUCCCCUGGGCCUGCACUGACGCUCAUGCACGAAAGCGUGGGGAGCAAACGGG
rnacentral:rRNA from 1 species